rnacentral:rRNA from 1 species
AUUGAACGCUGGCGGCAGGCCUAACACAUGCAAGUCGAGCGGAGCGGGGGACGGGUGGGUAAUGCAUGGGAGUAUGCCUUGCAGUUGGGGCUAAGGUCCGGACACGGGAGCUGAUACCGCAUACUUUUAGAUGAGCCUAGGUGGGAUUAGCUAGUUGGUGGGGUAAAGGCCUACCAAGUCGAUGAUCCGUAACUGGUCUGAGAGGAUGAUCAGUCACACUGGAACUGAGACACGGUCCAGACUCCUACGGGAGGCAGCAGUGGGGAAUAUUGCGCAAUGGGCGAAAGCCUGAUGCAGCCAUGCCGCGUGUGUGAAGAAGGUCUUCGGAUUGUAAAGCUCUGUUAGUUGGGAGGCGUUACCAACAGAAUAAGCCCCGGCUAACUUCGUGCCAGCAGCCGCGGUAAUAC